UCCUCGGUAGCUCAGUUGGUAGAGCAAUCGACUGUUAAUCGAUGGGUCACAGGUUCGAGUCCUGUCCGGGGAGCCA
rnacentral:tRNA from 1 species